rnacentral:rRNA from 1 species
GACGAACGCUGGCGGCGUGCUUAACACAUGCAAGUCGAGCGGUAAGGCUCCUUCGGGAGUACACGAGCGGCGAACGGGUGAGUAACACGUGAGUAAUCUGCCCUUCACUUCGGGAUAACCACCGGAAACGGUGGCUAAUACCGAAUACGACCAGUCUUCGCAUGAGGUGCUGGUGGAAAGUCUUUUCGGUGAAGGAUGUGCUCGCGGCCUAUCAGCUUGUUGGUGGGGUAAUGGCCUACCAAGGCUUCGACGGGUAGCCGGCAUGAGAGGGUGACCGGCCGCACUGGGACUGAGACACGGCCCAGACUCCUACGGGGGGCAGCAGUGGGGAAUAUUGGACGAUGGGCGAAAGCCUGAUCCAGCAACGCCGCGUGAGGGAUGACGGCCUUCGGGUUGUAAACCUCUUUCAGUACCGACGAAGCGACCUGUCGGGUGGUGACGGUAGGUACAGAAGAAGGACCGGCCAACUACGUG